CUGCAGGUCUAGAGACAUCCAUCCCUCCAGCUCCCUCCAGUGAAACACAGCCUGCUGAAGAAACUAAACCACUAAUGUCCAGUGAAUCUCCUGCACCAACCGGGGACCAACAAGAAUGUACCACAACUACCCCUGAUGGAACUAUGGAUGAUCAAGAUGAAGAUUAUUAAGAGUCUGGGACCAGCCCCUCCCUCAAGCCCCACACAUAAUGGAUCUGUGUCAGUCUCUGUCCAUCAGGAGGACCAUCAGCCUGUCCUCAUCAAGAGAGACCAUGGAGCCUCCCAGUCCCCCCCCCUCAGUCUGGGUCCCCCCUCCCCCUCCCGGUCCACCCCCCUCACUCUGGGUCCCCCCUCCCCCUCCCGGCCACCCCCCUCAGUCUGGGUCCCCCCUCCCCCUCCCGGACAGCCAGCAGGUCGUUGGUUCGCUCCAAGUUGGUAUCAAGUUACUUUAAUUUCCCAAGAGCCAAGUUUCGUAUCGACUGUGUUUCACUAUUGAAGGGUUAUGACCUUGUAGAAGAACAAGUAAAACCAGAUAUUGAAAAUUCUGGAUCAACAUGAAAGUGAAUCUGGUGACUCAAACGGAGGGAGUAAAUACACCAGGCAGAUUAUUUCGAAGGGGCGUGUGGUGAUAAUCCAUAUUUGAAUCAAUCCUCACAAGCAAGGAUGUUAAUAAAUAGACAUGUGAGGUGUUUUCUGUGAGGCGUCCUGGGAUAUGAUGGGUAACGUUGGCUUGAGUACGAUCUCCAUCCUGUACAGCUAAUGUUUAUAUGGAGAUGUGGAGAUUGAGAUGUUGGGUGAGAGGAACCACUUGUCUUUGAACGGUUUAUUAGGAUAUUUCUGUUUACAAUGUUGUCUUUUUUAGUUUGAGCUCAAUGAGUGCAAUGUUGACCACUUGGUGAACAUGUUUUAGUUAAUGGAUAUGAUCUCCUGACGCUAGAGUCACUCUCACAACAUGUGAGAGUGAACCAUUUGGAUUAGAUCAAAUGUUUCCGUUUUCCUUAAGAGGUAAAACCCCCCCAUUGGUUGAUCAGGGCAGGGGGGGCCUUUACACUCUUUUUUUAAUGAUACUAUAUAUUUCACCCAUACGUGUCAUUUUGAAGAGAAGGAAACUGUUUCUACGUCAGAGAUUUAGCGCCAUCACUGUAUUGAAGGUGUUGGAUUGAAUUCAGGACCAAUAAGCUAAAUGCUAAACAGUGUUCCUCUGCUCCACUUUAAGUGAACCCUAGCCUGGUGCUCUGUGUGGCCCUGCAGGAGCUGAGGGCUGGUUUAACCACACUGAUCGCUCAAUGUGCAACAGGAGUGCAGCCGCACCAAGCCCCUGGGUCCAACCAGUCUGACUCGGGCCAGGUGAGGCUGCUUAAACCAGCCGUCAUCCACACACACUCCACAAAACCGUGUCUGAAACGGUCUGUAAGGCCAAAUCUUAUUUCUACCCCUUACCCCUUUCCCCUCCCCCUUGUUUUGAAGGGUUAAGGGGAAGGGGUAAGGGGAAGAAAUGGGGUUGGGCCUAAGUGUAUUGUUUUUUAACUUUAUUUGGAGAUUUAUUAAUGGGGAUAUUUUGCUUACAUUUUACGGUGUUUAUUUUGUUAACAGAUUUUGGGCGUUUGGAUUAUUAUCAAAUGGCCUUCUUUCAUCUGUCAAAAGUGCCCGUUCUCAAACCUUAACGACAGAAUAGGAAUGGUAGGUAACUCUGACAUGUAUCAUGGUUGUUCUCAAUGAUAGUGACUGCUAACCUGACAUGUUCAUGUAUUGUUUAACACUAUAUUAUUGUGUCUCUAACUGAUAUUUCUCAGAGUGACACAAGGUACUCAUCUUGCUUCUGGAAAUAUUGGACCCGAAGCUUGUAUCUGUUUUUAAAUGUGUUUGUAUUAUAAUUGUGGAUGCCUCAUUUGCAUCCUUCUUAAAUGUUUUGUAUUGUUUUAUAUAUGUAUAUAGAUAUAUAUAUUGUAUUUGUGCUGUCUUUAUGGACCUUAUAGGUCUUGAAUAAAAAGUUGAUUGAUUGUUAUAUAUAGCAAGGACCGGAUCAACUAUAUAAAAACA